UGGGGAAUUUUGGACAAUGGGCGCAAGCCUGAUCCAGCAAUGCCGCGUGCAGGAAGAAGGCCUUCGGGUUGUAAACUGCUUUUGUACGGAACGAAACGGUCCUGGUUAAUACCUGGGGCUAAUGACGGUACCGUAAGAAUAAGCACCGGCUAACUACGUGCCAGCAGCCGCGGUAAUACGUAGGGUGCGAGCGUUAAUCGGAAUUACUGGGCGUAAAGCGUGCGCAGGCGGUGCUGUAAGACAGGCGUGAAAUCCCCGGGCUCAACCUGGGAAUUGCGCUUGUGACUGCAGUGCUGGAGUACGGCAGAGGGGGAUGGAAUUCCGCGUGUAGCAGUGAAAUGCGUAGAUAUGCGGAGGAACACCGAUGGCGAAGGCAGUCCCCUGGGCCUGUACUGACGCUCAUGCACGAAAGCGUGGGGAGCAAACAGG
rnacentral:rRNA from 1 species